GCGGGGACUUACGGUGACUCGACCGCCGUAGGCCCAGGUCAGCGUAUUCCCAGAUCAGAACGCAUGAUCUUGAAAAACUUCCCAAGCUGACAGCGCGGGUUCGAUUCCCGUCACCCGCUCCA
rnacentral:tRNA from 1 species